rnacentral:misc_RNA from 1 species
GUCUUGCGGCUAGGUUUCCCACCCGCUUUACUAUCUACUAUGUGCUCAAUCAGCCUCCUGAAGGAUGGGAUGGUGGUGUUGGCUUCAUAACUGAGGAAAUGAUACGACUACACUGUCCUGCGCCAUCCCCUAAUGUUCGGAUUUUGAGGUGCGGGCCACCCCCCAUGAACAAAGCUAUGGCUGCUUACCUCAACACUAUUGGCCAUCCUCCCCAAAUGCAGUUCCUGUUCUAAUCCAUCCUUUAUUAUUCUCGUUUAAUUCCAUUGAUA